GUUCGGGCCGCACGCGCGCUACACUGACGGAGCCAGCGAGUAUAAACCUUGGCCGAAAGGUCUGGGGAAAUCUUGGGAAACUCCGUCGUGCUGGGGAUAGAGCAUUGUAAUUAUUGCUCUUCGACGAGGAAUUCCUAGUAAGCGCAAGUCAUCCGCUUGCGUUGAUUACGUCCCUGCCCUUUGGACACACCGCCCGUCGCUACUACCGAUUGAAUGGCUUAAUGAGGCUUCCGGAAUGGUUUAUAGAAGGGGGCAACUCCCUCUUGGAACCCAGAAGCUAGUCAAACUUGGUCAUUUAGAGGAAGUAAAAGUCGUAACAAGGUUUCCGUAGGUGAACCUGCGGAAGGAUCAUUACAGAAUGAAAAGUGCUUACCUGCAUUUUUUCUUACACAUGGGUUUUUCUUUUUUUGAAAACUUUGCUUUGGUAGGCCUUCUAUAUGGGGCCUGCCAGAGAUUAA
rnacentral:rRNA from 1 species